UACGAAGGGGGCUAGCGUUGCUCGGAAUGACUGGGCGUAAAGGGCGCGUAGGCGGCUUGCACCGUCAGAUGUGAAAUUCCUGGGCUUAACCUGGGGGCUGCAUUUGAUACGUGUGGGCUUGAGUGCGGAAGAGGGUCGUGGAAUUCCCAGUGUAGAGGUGAAAUUCGUAGAUAUUGGGAAGAACACCGGUGGCGAAGGCGGCAUCCUGGACCAUUACUGACACUGAAAAGCGAAAGCCAGGGGAGCAAACGGG
rnacentral:rRNA from 1 species